AAACUUAAAUGAAUUGACGGGGACCCGCACAAGCGGUGGAUGAUGUGGUUUAAUUCGAUGCAACGCGAAAAACCUUACCCACCUUUGACAUGUACGGAAUCCUUUAGAGAUAGAGGAGUGCUCGAAAGAGAGCCGUAACACAGGUGCUGCAUGGCUGUCGUCAGCUCGUGUCGUGAGAUGUUGGGUUAAGUCCCGCAACGAGCGCAACCCUUGUCAUUAGUUGCUACAUUCAGUUGGGCACUCUAAUGAGACUGCCGGUGACAAACCGGAGGAAGGUGGGGAUGACGUCAAGUCCUCAUGGCCCUUAUAGGUGGGGCUACACACGUCAUACAAUGGCUGGUACAGAGGGUUGCCAACCCGCGAGGGGGAGCCAAUCCCAUAAAGCCAGUCGUAGUCCGGAUCGCAGUCUGCAACUCGACUGCGUGAAGUCGGAAUCGCUAGUAAUCGCGGAUCAGAAUGUCGCGGUGAAUACGUUCCCGGGUCUUGUACACACCGCCCGUCACACCAUGGGAGCGGGUUCUGCCAGAAGUAGUUAGCCUAACCGCAAGGAGGGCGAUUACCACGGCAGGGUUCGUGACUGGGGUGAAGUCGUAACAAGGUAGCCGUAUCGGAAGGUGCGGCUGGAUCACCUCCUUUAUG
rnacentral:rRNA from 1 species